rnacentral:rRNA from 1 species
CAGCAGCCGCGGUAAUACGUAGGGUGCAAGCGUUAAUCGGAAUUACUGGGCGUAAAGCGUGCGUAGGCGGUGAGUUAAGUCUGCUGUGAAAUCCCCGGGCUCAACCUGGGAAUGGCAGUGGAUACUGGCUCGCUAGAGUGUGUCAGAGGGUGGUGGAAUUCCCGGUGUAGCGGUGAAAUGCGUAGAGAUCGGGAGGAACAUCAGUGGCGAAGGCGGCCAUCUGGGACAACACUGACGCUGAGGCACGAAAGCGUGGGGAGCAAACAGGAUUAGAUACCCCCGUAGUCCCUGUCUCUUAUAC